UCGGGAAUUUUGGGCAAUGGGGGAAACCCUGACCCAGCAACGCCGCGUGAAGGAUGAAGUAUUUCGGUAUGUAAACUUCGAAAGAAUAGGAAGAAUAAAUGACGGUACUAUUUAUAAGGUCCGGCUAACUACGUGCCAGCAGCCGCGGUAAUACGUAGGGACCAAGCGUUGUUCGGAUUUACUGGGCGUAAAGGGCGCGUAGGCGGCAUGACAAGUCACUUGUGAAAUCUCUGGGCUUAACCCAGAACGGCCAAGUGAUACUGUCGCGCUAGAGUGCAGAAGGGGCAAUCGGAAUUCUUGGUGUAGCGGUGAAAUGCGUAGAUAUCAAGAGGAACACCUGAGGUGAAGACGGGUUGCUGGGCUGACACUGACGCUGAGGCGCGAAAGCGUGGGGAGCAAACAGGAUUAGAUACCCACGUAGUCCCUGAGCGGGCUGGCAAGGCGCAU
rnacentral:rRNA from 1 species